AUCGCUUCUCGGCCUUUUGGCUAAGAUCAAGUGUAGUAUCUGUUCUUAAACUUUAUUCCCUUUAAAGUUUUUGAGUUUUGAAACAUGUGCAUUGAAAAAAAUCAUUAAAUAUUUAUAUUUAGUGAUUAAGUAUAAAUAAAAUUAUGAGAUCACUGCCCUGUCUGUGAUCUGUCACUGACUUGCU